UGGAUCCAGAACUUUGAUUUCUGGCUCAGGAUGAACGCUAGCUACAGGCUUAACACAUGCAAGUCGAGGGGCAUCAGUUUGGUUUGCUUGCAAACCAAAGCUGGCGACCGGCGCACGGGUGAGUAACACGUAUCCAACCUGCCUCAUACUCGGGGAUAGCCUUUCGAAAGAAAGAUUAAUAUCCGAUAGCAUAUAUUUCCCGCAUGGGUUUUAUAUUAAAGAAAUUCGGUAUGAGAUGGGGAUGCGUUCCAUUAGUUUGUUGGGGGGGUAACGGCCCACCAAGACUACGAUGGAUAGGGGUUCUGAGAGGAAGGUCCCCCACAUUGGAACUGAGACACGGUCCAAACUCCUACGGGAGGCAGCAGUGAGGAAUAUUGGUCAAUGGACGCGAGUCUGAACCAGCCAAGUAGCGUGAAGGAUGACUGCCCUAUGGGUUGUAAACUUCUUUUAUAUGGGAAUAAAGUUGUCCACGUGUGGAUUUUUGUAUGUACCAUAUGAAUAAGGAUCGGCUAACUCCGUGCCAGCAGCCGCGGUAAUACGGAGGAUCCGAGCGUUAUCCGGAUUUAUUGGGUUUAAAGGGAGCGUAGGCGGAUUGUUAAGUCAGUUGUGAAAGUUUGCGGCUCAACCGUAAAAUUGCAGUUGAUACUGGCAGUCUUGAGUGCAGUAGAGGUGGGCGGAAUUCGUGGUGUAGCGGUGAAAUGCUUAGAUAUCACGAAGAACUCCGAUUGCGAAGGCAGCUCACUGGAGUGUAACUGACGUUGAUGCUCGAAAGUGUGGGUAUCAAACAGGAUUAGAUACCCUGGUAGUCCACACAGUAAACGAUGAAUACUCGCUGUUAGCGAUAUACAGUAAGCGGCC
rnacentral:rRNA from 1 species